rnacentral:tRNA from 1 species
AAAUUUCUUAUUCAAAAAUGAUACUAAACUGCAAAUUUAGAGGAGGAAUAACCCAGAAAUU